CGUCUAUAUACGUAUAGCAUAUCAAUAAGCGGAGGAAAAGAAACUAACUAGGAUUCCCUCAGUAACGGCGAGUGAAGCGGGAAGAGCUCAAAUUUGAAAUCUUCAAGGUUCUACCUUGACGAAUUGUAGUUUAAAGAAGUGUUUUCUGUUGGAGUUUUGGUAAAAGUUCUUUGGAAUAGGACAUCAUAGAGGGUGAGAAUCCCGUAUUUGACCAUUAUUUCCAACUUUGUGAUACACUUUCGAAGAGUCGGAUUGUUUGGGAAUGCAGUCCAAAAUGGGUGGUAAAUUUCAUCUAAAGCUAAAUACUGGCGAGAGACCGAUAGCGAACAAGUACCGUGAGGGAAAGAUGAAAAGAACUUUGAAAAGAGAGUUAAACAGUACGUGAAAUUGUCAAAAGGGAAGCGUUUGACACCAGUGUUGUUUUCUCGAAAAUCAAUUAAAAAUGGCCGGAUUUUGUGUUGUAUUGACUUUAUCAGCUUUCUGCACUUUUUUCUUGUCUUUUUUAAUGCACUUUUCGUUUAACAAGUCAACAUCAAUUUCUUUUGUUGUAAAAGGGUCAUUGGAAGGUGGCUUUCUUUUCGGAGAAAGUGUUUAUAGCCUUUGCCUCUAGCAAUCGGAGAGAUUGAGGUCUGCAGCGUAGAUCCUUCGGGGUUAGAUGCAUUUGUGCUAAGUUAUAGCCUUUCAUAGACAACUUGUUGACUAUGAUCAGUCAUGUAGCUUACUCGCUUAUGCUAUUUUACCUACGCUUAGGAUGUUGACGAUCAGCUGAGCGCG
rnacentral:rRNA from 1 species